rnacentral:rRNA from 1 species
CCAGACUCCUACGGGAGGCAGCAGUGGGGAAUAUUGGGCAAUGGGGGAAACCCUGACCCAGCGACGCCGCGUGAGGGAAGAAGGUUUUCGGAUUGUAAACCUCUGUCCUUGGUGACGAUAAUGACGGUAGCCAAGGAGGAAGCCACGGCUAACUACGUGCCAGCAGCCGCGGUAAUACGUAGGGGGCAAGCGUUAUCCGGAUUUACUGGGUGUAAAGGGAGCGUAGACGGCAGCGCAAGUCUGGAGUGAAAUGCCGGGGCCCAACCCCGGAACUGCUUUGGAAACUGUGCAGCUAGAGUGCAGGAGAGGUAAGCGGAAUUCCUAGUGUAGCGGUGAAAUGCGUAGAUAUUAGGAGGAACACCAGUGGCGAAGGCGGCUUACUGGACUGUAACUGACGUCGAGGCUCGAAAGCGUGGGGAGCAAACAG